GAGAGCCGUGUGCAUCGAGAGGUGCCCGCACGGUUCGGGAGGGAGCGUCCACGAGGCGCUUACCUCAU
rfam:Lachnospiraceae bacterium A2 genomic scaffold acPFL-supercont1.4, whole genome shotgun sequence.